rnacentral:rRNA from 1 species
CACGUAGGGUGCGAGCGUUGUCCGGAAUUAUUGGGCGUAAAGAGCUCGUAGGCGGUGUGUCGCGUCGGCCGUGAAAACCUGCAGCUUAACUGUGGGCUUGCGGUCGAUACGGGCAUCACUGGAGUUCGGCAGGGGAGACUGGAAUUCCUGGUGUAGCGGUGAAAUGCGCAGAUAUCAGGAGGAACACCGGUGGCGAAGGCGGCAUCCUGGACCAACACUGACACUGAUGAGCGAAAGCCAGGGGAGCAAACGGG